rnacentral:rRNA from 1 species
CUCAGAUUGAACGCUGGCGGCAUGCUUUACACAUGCAAGUCGAACGGUAACAGCACUUCGGUGGCUGACGAGUGGCGAACGGGUGAGUAAUACAUCGGAACGUGCCUAGUAGUGGGGGAUAACUACUCGAAAGAGUAGCUAAUACCGCAUGAGAUCUAAGGAUGAAAGCAGGGGACCUUCGGGCCUUGUGCUACUAGAGCGGCUGAUGGCAGAUUAGGUAGUUGGUGGGAUAAAAGCUUACCAAGCCGACGAUCUGUAGCUGGUCUGAGAGGACGACCAGCCACACUGGGACUGAGACACGGCCCAGACUCCUACGGGAGGCAGCAGUGGGGAAUUUUGGACAAUGGGCGCAAGCCUGAUCCAGCAAUGCCGCGUGCAGGAUGAAGGCCUUCGGGUUGUAAACUGCUUUUGUACGGAACGAAAAGCUCUGGGUUAAUACCCUGGGGUCAUGACGGUACCGUAAGAAUAAGCACCGGCUAACUACGUGCCAGCAGCCGCGGUAAUACGUAGGGUGCAAGCGUUAAUCGGAAUUACUGGGCGUAAAGCGUGCGCAGGCGGUCUUGUAAGACAGAGGUGAAAUCCCCGGGCUCAACCUGGGAACUGCCUUUGUGACUGCAAGGCUGGAGUACGGCAGAGGGGGAUGGAAUUCCGCGUGUAGCAGUGAAAUGCGUAGAUAUGCGGAGGAACACCGAUGGCGAAGGCAAUCCCCUGGGCCUGUACUGACGC